GAUGAAGAACGCAGCGAAAUGCGAUAAGUAAUGUGAAUUGCAGAAUUCAGUGAAUCAUCGAAUCUUUGAACGCACAUUGCGCCCGCUAGUAUUCUGGCGGGCAUGCCUGUCCGAGCGUCAUUUCAACCCUCAAGCCCCCGGGCUUGGUGUUGGGGAUCGGCGAGCCUCCGCGCCCGCCGUCCCCUAAAUCUAGUGGCGGUCUCGCUGUAGCUUCCUCUGCGUAGUAGCACACCUCGCACUGGGAAACAGCGCGGCCACGCCGUUAAACCCCCAACUUCUGAACGUUUGACCUCGGAUCAGGUAGGAAUACCCGCUGAACUUAAGCAUAUCAAUAAGCAGAGGA
rnacentral:misc_RNA from 1 species